AGGGUUUGAUCAUGGCUCAGAUUGAACGCUGGCGGUAGGCUUAACACAUGCAAGUCGUGCGAGAAAGUAUCUUCGGAUAUGAGUAGAGCGGCGGACGGGUGAGUAACGCGUAGGAAUCUACCUAGUAGAAGGGGAUAGCCCGAGGAAACUCGGAUUAAUACCGUAUACCUCCUUUGGGAGAAAGAGGGCCUCUCUUGAUGCUCUCGCUACUAGAUGAGCCUGCGUAAGAUUAGCUUGUUGGUGAGGUAAUGGCUCACCAAGGCUACGAUCUUUAGCUGGUCUGAGAGGACGAUCAACCACAUUGGGACUGAGACACGGCCCAGACUCCUACGGGAGGCAGCAGUGGGGAAUAUUGGACAAUGGGCGCAAGCCUGAUCCAGCCAUACCGCGUGUGUGAAGAAGGCCUUCGGGUUGUAAAGCACUUUCAGUCGUGAGGAAAGGGGUGUAGCUAAUAUCUGCAUCCUGUGACGUUAGCGACAGAAGAAGCACCGGCUAACUCCGUGCCAGCCGCCGCGGUAAUAC
rnacentral:rRNA from 1 species